AGCAAUCUGGGAUGUGCGUUUGUGCCUAUAAAUUCAACCGACAUUAUUAUUUAGGGAGCUCGAUUGUAGUUUUAUCAAAUGACCUGCCUUCUUGAAAGGACUUCAGCGAUAAUGUGCAGGGCACCCACCUGAGUUGAACUCGGGCGUGAAUUUGCAGGUAUGUGACGGCAUUCUGGAUUUUUG
rnacentral:other from 1 species